GCAGUAAUGCGUGAAGCUAACCAGUACUAAUACCCCGAUCGGCUUGAUCGC
rnacentral:rRNA from 1 species